AUACGUAGGGGGCGGGCGUUGUCCGGAAUGAUUGGGCGUAAAGGGCGCGUAGGCGGCGCGGUAAGUCUGGAGUGAAAGUCCUGCUUUCAAGGUGGGAAUUGCUUUGGAUACUGCCGCGCUUGAGUGCAGGAGAGGUUAUCGGAAUUCCCGGUGUAGCGGUGAAAUGCGUAGAGAUCGGGAGGAACACCAGUGGCGAAGGCGGGUAACUGGACUGCAACUGACGCUGAGGCGCGAAAGUGUGGGGAGCAAACAGGAUUAGAUACCCUGGUAGUCCACACUGUAAACGAUGAAUGCUAGGUGUAAGAGGUAUCGACCCCUUUUGUGCCGGAGUCAACACAAUAAGCAUUCCGCCUGGGGAGUACGGCCGCAAGGUUGAAACUCAAAUGAAUUGACGGGG
rnacentral:rRNA from 1 species